rnacentral:rRNA from 1 species
AUGCGUCUGUGUGCUAUGUUGUCGAGGUGUCUCUCUAAUACUGCGGAUAUUCCUGUAUGGAGGCUGGAUAGCUCUGCCUCUUAUACUACUAAAUCUUUUUAUGCCCAGAUCAAUUGGGGAGGGGUUGACACUCCUGUGGGGGAUAAGUUCUGGAAAAUUAAAGUUCCAAAUAGAUACCCUGUAUUUGUUUGGCUGGUUAUUCAUAAUAAGAUUCUGGUUCGUGAUAAUUUGAGUAAAAGGCAAGUAGUUGAAGAUCUUUCUUGCUUAUUUUGUAGUGAACCAGAAUAUGUCAACCAUUUACUGUGUGGGUGCAUUUUUGGCAGAACACACUUUGCAGAGUGUUUCUGA